rnacentral:rRNA from 1 species
CCUACGGGUGGCAGCAGUGAGGAAUAUUGCUCAAUGGGCGCUAGCCUGAACCAGCCAAGUAGCGUGAAUGAUGACUGCCCUAUGGGUUGUAAGCUUCUUUUAUGUGGGAAUAAAGUGCAGUGUGUAUACUGCUUUGCAUGUACCUUAUGAAUAAGGAACGGCUAACUCCGUGCCAGCAGCCGCGGUAAUACGGAGGGUCCGAGCGUUAUCCGGAUUUAUUGGGUUUAAAGGGAGCGUAGGCGGGUUGUUAAGUCAGUUGUGAAAGUUUGGGGCUCAACCUGAGAAUUGCAGUUGAUACUGGCAUCCUUGAGUACCGUAGAGGUAGGUGGAAUUCGAGGUGUAGCGGUGAAAUGCGUAGAUAUCACGAAGAAUGCCGAUGGCGAAGGCAGCCUCCUGGACUGAAACUGACGCUGAUGCUCGAAAGUGUGGGUAUCAAACAGGAUUAGAUACCCGAGUAGUC